ensembl:lncRNA
AUGGGUCAGCCCUGGGAAAUUAAGAAUUUCCAGCAGUGGGGAUGGUGUGAGCAAGAAGGCAGCCUUGCUUGGGGGUUAGCGAGGAGCCAGACUGGCUGGAAUAGAAGGUGUGGGCUUAGGCCCAUGGCUGCUGGGCCUCCCCUUCGCCCCUCACUCCUGUCAUGUCUGCUUCUCAGUUUCAGAAUUGCAUUUGUAACCUCAUCCCUGAUUUACAACCCUCCUGGGUCCCUUUGGUCCCUUACUGUUGAAUUAGCUGGUCGUUCCCAUGUUCCCACCCCAAUUCCCCUUGGGGCACCAGACAGAUGUCUCUGGGAAGUCUUGUUUCAUUCCAUCCAGUCCAAAGCUUUAACUUCUUCAUCUGCCCAUGAAGUCUGCCCCUACCCUCCCUGCCAAUCCCCGUGCCACCGGCUGAAAUAAGGAGUGGGGCUCCCCCUGCUAUUUCUGAAGCCUUCUCAAAAACAUUCAGGGCCAUCAUCAGCAAGGCUCUUCUAUAGAUAAGGCUGGGCUCAAAAGAGGAGUUUUAAGCCAGUGAUAGGAUGGACUGGGCACUUCCUAGGUGAGUGGGAAGCCACUGUCCACCCCUUCUCAGCUGCUCCUGUCAUUCAUUCCCCAGACCCUCAGCUUUUCCUACCCUGAAACUAUUCCUUUUGCAUUUCCCUCAAGUCCUGUUUAUUUAUCUUAAAAACCCUUACCUUCUGUCUUAGAAUACUGUGUAUUAGCUCCAAGGCAGAACAGUGGUUAGGCAAUGGGGUUAAGUGACUUGCCCAGGGUCACACAUCUAAGAAGUAUCUGAGGUCAUAUUUGAACCCAAGACCUUCCAACUCUAGAUCUAAUACUUUAUUCACUGUGCCACCUAGCUGCUUUAUUCUUUUUGUUCUUUUAAAUUCAGGUCUGUCCUUGAGGAGAGAGGUAAAAAAAUGCCCCUUUCCCCUCAGAAGCAUUGAUCCCUCUCUGGCAUCAUGUAACAUACUAGCUCAAGAACCAUCACGUAUUCACUUUACCUGUAUCUGGAGGGGGGAGGUUGCCUAGAACCCCCUGGCUGGGUUCUUCCCUCUGGGUCUCGGGGGAGGUCCCAGCUUUGGGGCACCAGCUAAGCCCAAUCCCAUCGGGAGCCCUCAGAGCUACUGAAAGGACAGAGGGCUCAGGGCUGGCAAGGGGGUUGCUCCAAAGAGCUUUCCUUGAAAGUAACCCGGGCCAGUUUCUGGGCAUUCAACACAGACUGUGGAAGAGGAGGUUGCUGCUUUUCUCUUUCUUCUUUUUUUUUUUUUUGGCUCCGGGAUCAUUUGGCCCACACUACCUGAACCUAAUCCCAUCAGGAGUCAUCAGAGUCCAGGCAAGCCACAACCCCUCCCCCCUUAGAGAGCAGGGUCUUCUGAAAGAACCAGCUGAACCUAAUCCCAUCAGGAGCCCUCAGAGCUACUGAAAGGACAGAAAACUCAGGGCUGGCAAAGGGGUUGCUCCAAAGAGCUUUCCUUGAAAGUAACUCGGCCAGUUUCUGGGCACUCAACACAGACUGUGGAAGAGGAGGUGGCUGCUUUUUUUUUUCUUCCUUCCCUUUUUUGGCUCUGGGAUCUUUCGGCCCACACCACCUGAACCUAAGCUCAUCAGGAGCCCUCAGAGUCCAGGCAAGCCACAACCCCUCCCCCCUUAGAGAGCUGGGUCUUCUGAAAAAACAGAAACCUAGAGGCGAAGUCAAGAUGGCAGCCUAGAAGGAGCAUAGACCUGGCAGCCUGGCCAGAGCUUUAGAGAUCCUCCAUAUCUGCUCCAGCCGUCCAAGAAGUUUAAAACUCAGAAUAAACCCAGCCCAAAUAAGCUGAACUCA